rnacentral:rRNA from 1 species
AGAGCGAACGCUGGCGGCAGGCCUAACACAUGCAAGUCGAGCGCCCGUAGCAAUACGGGAGCGGCAGACGGGAGAGUAACACGUGGGAACGCGCCCUUCGGUUCGGAAUAACUCAGGGAAACUUGAGCUAAUACCGGAUACGCCCUUACGGGGAAAGAUUUAUUGCCGAAGGAACGGCCCGCGUCCGAUUAGCUUGUUGGUGAGGUAACGGCUCACCAAGGCGACGAUCGGUAGCUGGUCUGAGAGGAUGACCAGCCUCACUGGGACUGAGACACGGCCCAGACUCCUACGGGAGGCAGCAGUGGGGAAUAUUGGACAAUGGGCGCAAGCCUGAUCCAGCCAUGCCGCGUGGAUGAUGAAGGCCCUAGGGUUGUAAGUCCUUUUAACGGGAAGAUAAUGACGGUACCCGUAGAAUAAGCCCGGCUAACUUCGCGCCAGCAGCCGC